rnacentral:rRNA from 1 species
CCUACGGGUGGCAGCAGUGAGGAAUAUUGGUCAAUGGGCGAGAGCCUGAACCAGCCAAGUAGCGUGAAGGAUGACUGCUCUACGGGUUGUAAACUUCUUUUAUAUGGGAAUAAAGUGUGGCACGUGUGCCUUUUUGUAUGUACCUUAUGAAUAAGGAUCGGCUAACUCCGUGCCAGCAGCCGCGGUAAUACGGAGGAUCCGAGCGUUAUCCGGAUUUAUUGGGUUUAAAGGGAGCGUAGAUGGGUUGUUAAGUCAGUUGUGAAAGUUUGCGGCUCAACCGUAAAAUUGCAAUUGAUACUGGCAGUCUUGAGUACAGUAGAGGUAGGCGGAAUUCGUGGUGUAGCGGUGAAAUGCUUAGAUAUCACGAAGAACUCCGAUGACGAAGGCAGCCUACUAAACUGCAACUGACAUUGAGGCUCGAAAGUGUGGGUAUCAAACAGGAUUAGAUACCCGAGUAGUC